rnacentral:piRNA from 1 species
UGACAUGUUUUGGCUAUUAUGAUUCUGUG